rnacentral:rRNA from 1 species
GACGAACGCUGGCGGCGUGCUUAACACAUGCAAGUCGAACGGAAAGGCCCUGCUUUUGUGGGGUGCUCGAGUGGCGAACGGGUGAGUAACACGUGAGUAACCUGCCCUUGACUUUGGGAUAACUUCAGGAAACUGGGGCUAAUACCGGAUAGGAGCUCCUGCUGCAUGGUGGGGGUUGGAAAGUUUCGGCGGUUGGGGAUGGACUCGCGGCUUAUCAGUUUGUUGGUGGGGUAGUGGCUUACCAAGGCUUUGACGGGUAGCCGGCCUGGGAGGGUGACCGGCCACAUUGGGACUGAGAUACGGCCCAGACUCCUACGGGAGGCAGCGGUGGGGAGUAUUGCACAAUGGGCGGAAGCCUGAUGCAGCAACGCCGCGUGCGGGAUGACGGCCUUCGGGUUGUGAACCGCUUUCGCCUGUGACGAAGCGUGAGUGACGGUAAUGGGUAAAGAAGCACCGGCUAACUACGUG